UACAGAGGGUGCGAGCGUUGUCCGGAAUCACUGGGCGUAAAGGGCGCGUAGGCGGCCUGAUAAGUAGGGGGUGAAAUCUCGCGGCUCAACUGCGAGGCUGCCUCCUAAACUGUCGGGCUCGAGCACAGUAGAGGCAGGUGGAAUUCCAGGUGUAGCGGUGGAAUGCGUAGAGAUCUGCAAGAAUACCCGUGGCGAAGGCGGCCAGCUGGGCCGGGUCCGACGCUGAGGCGCGAAAGCGUGGGGAGCAAACAGG
rnacentral:rRNA from 1 species